rnacentral:rRNA from 1 species
GAACGGGGGAUGUACAGCGGGAAGAUUUCGGUCGGACCAAGUGCAUGCCUAGUGGCGGACGGGUGAGUAACGCGUGGGUAACCUGCCUUACACAGGGGGAUAACACUUAGAAAUAGGUGCUAAUACCGCAUGAGCGCACAGGACCGCAUGGUCGAGUGUGAAAAACUGAGGUGGUGUAAGAUGGACCCGCGUCUGAUUAGCUGGUUGGUGAGGUAACGGCCCACCAAGGCGACGAUCAGUAGCCGGCCUGAGAGGGUGGACGGCCACAUUGAGACUGAGACACGGCCCAAACUCCUACGGGAGGCAGCAGUGGGGGAUAUUGGACAAUGGGGGGAACCCUGAUCCAGCGACGCCGCGUGAGUGAAGAAGUAUCUCGGUAUGUAAAGCUCUAUCAGCAGGGAAGAAGAAAUGACGGUACCUGAGUAAGAAGCCCCGGCUAACUACGUGCCAGCAGCCGCGGUAAUACGUAGGGGGCAAGCGUUAUCCGGAAUUACUGGGUGUAAAGGGAGCGUAGACGGUGAUGUAAGUCUGGAGUGAAAGGCGGGGGCCCAACCCCCGGACUGCUCUGGAAACUAAGUGACCGGAGUGCGGGAGAGGUGAGCGGAAUUCCUAGUGUAGCAGGUGAAAUG